rnacentral:rRNA from 1 species
UGCGGGCUCAACCCGCAUUUUGCAAUUGAUACUUUCUUUCUUGAGUACGAGAGGGGACGGUGGAAUAUUUAGUGUAGCGGUGGAAUGCGUAGAUAUUAAAUAGAACACCUGAGGCGAAGGCGACUGUCUGGCUCGUAACUGACACUGAAAUACGAAAGUAUGGGUAGCAAACAGGAUUAGAUACCCUGGUAGUCCAUACCGUAAACGAUGGAUACUAGGUGUCGGAGGCUUAACCCCUUCGGUGCCGUAGCUAACGCGUUAAGUAUCCCGCCUGGGGAGUACGAUCGCAAGGUUGAAACUCAAAGGAAUUGACGGGGGCCCGCACAAGCGGUGGAGCAUGUGGUUUAAUUCGAUGCAACGCGAAGAACCUUACCUGGGCUUGAACUGUAGUGGACCGUCAUAGAGAUAUGAUUUUUCCUUCACGGGAACUGCUAUAGAGGUGCUGCAUGGCUGUCGUCAGCUCGUGUCGUGAGAUGUUGGGUUAAGUCCCGCAACGAGCGCAACCCUUAUCGCUAAUUACCAUCGAGUAAUGUCGGGGACUUUAGCGAGACUGCCCGGGUUAACCGGGAGGAAGGUGGGGAUGACGUCAAGUCCUCAUGGCCCUUAUGUCCAGGGCUACACACGUGCUACAAUGGUCGGUACAGAGUGUCGCUACAAUGUGAGUUGAUGCUAAUCACUAAACCCGAUCUCAGUUCGGAUUGCAGUCUGCAACUCGACUGCAUGAAGUUGGAAUCGCUAGUAAUCGUGGAUCAGCAUGCCACGGUGAAUACGUUCCCGGGCCUUGUACACACCGCCCGUCACACCAUGGAAGUCUAUAGUGCUCGAAAUGACUGAUCUAACCUUCGGGAGGAAGGUCACUAAGGCAAGAUCGAUAACUGGGGUGAAGUCGUAACAAGGUA